GCAGCAGGCGCGCAAAUUACCCACUCCCGGCACGGGGAGGUAGUGACGAAAAAUAACGAUACGGGACUCAUCCGAGGCCCCGUAAUCGGAAUGAGUACACUCUAAACCCUUUAACGAGGAUCAAUUGGAGGGCAAGUCUGGUGCCAGCAGCCGCGGUAAUUCCAGCUCCAAUAGCGUAUAUUAAAGUUGUUGCGGUUAAAAAGCUCGUAGUCGAAUUUGUGUCUCGCGCCGCCGGUUCAUCGUUCGCGGUGUUAACUGGCGUGUCGUAAGACGUCCUGCCGGCGGGCUUAGCUCGCAAGAGCGGCCCAAUUCAAUCCUGCCGCGGUGCUCUUCACUGAGUGUCGAGGUGGGCCGGCACGUUUACUUUGAACAAAUUAGAGUGCUUAAAGCAGGCUAAAAUUUCGCCUGAAUAUUGCGUGCAUGGAAUAAUGAAACAGGACCUCGGUUCUAUUUUGUUGGUUUUCGGAACCCCGAGGUAAUGAUUAACAGGAACGGAUGGGGGCAUUCGUAUUGCGACGUUAGAGGUGAAAUUCUUGGAUCGUCGCAAGACGGACAGAAGCGAAAGCAUUUGCCAAAAACGUUUUCAUUGAUCAAGAACGAAAGUUAGAGGUUCGAAGGCGAUCAGAUACCGCCCUAGUUCUAACCAUAAACUAUGCCAGCUAGCGAUCCGCCGACGUUCCUCCGAUGACUCGGCGGGCAGCUUCCGGGAAACCAAAGCUUUUGGGUUCCGGGGGAAGUAUGGUUGCAAAGCUGAAACUUAAAGGAAUUGACGGAAGGGCACCACCAGGAGUGGAGCCUGCGGCUUAAUUUGACUCAACACGGGAAACCUCAUCAGGCCCGGACACCGGAAGGAUUGACAGAUUGAGAGCUCUUUCUUGAUUCGGUGGGUGGUGGUGCAUGGCCGU
rnacentral:rRNA from 1 species